UACGUAGGGUGCGAGCGUUGUCCGGAAUUAUUGGGCGUAAAGGGCUCGUAGGCGGUCUGUCACGUCGGGAGUGAAAACACGGGGCUUAACCCCGUGCCUGCUUCCGAUACGGGCAGACUAGAGGUAUGCAGGGGGAGAACGGAAUUCCUGGUGUAGCGGUGAAAUGCGCAGAUAUCAGGAGGAACACCGGUGGCGAAGGCGGUUCUCUGGGCAUUACCUGACGUGAGGAGCGAAAGCGUGGGGAGCGAACAGG
rnacentral:rRNA from 1 species